AGUGAACGCUGGCGGUAGGCCUAACACAUGCAAGUCGAACGGCAGCACAGUAAGAGCUUUCUCUUACUGGUGGCGAGUGGCGGACGGGUGAGGAAUACAUCGGAAUCUACUUUUUCGUGGGGGAUAACGUAGGGAAACUUACGCUAAUACCGCAUACUACCUACGGGUGAAAUCAGGGGAUCUUCGGACCUUGCGCGAUUGAAUGAGCCGAUGUCGGAUUAGCUAGUUGGCGGGGUAAAGGCCCACCAAGGCGACGAUCCGUAGCUGGUCUGAGAGGAUGAUCAGCCACACUGGAACUGAGACACGGUCCAGACUCCUACGGGAGGCAGCAGUGGGGAAUAUUGGACAAUGGGCGAAAGCCUGAUCCAGCCAUACCGCGUGGGUGAAGAAGGCCUUCGGGUUGUAAAGCCCUUUUGUUGGGAAAGAAAAGCAGCAGGUUAAUACCCCGAUGUUCUGACGGUACCCAAAGAAUAAGCACCGGCUAACUUCGAG
rnacentral:rRNA from 1 species